CCGAACCACUAUAGUGACGACUGAACUGUACACAAUCAAUGCAACGGGGGUCUAUUUUAGUCAACUGAUUAAUGCAUGCCGUACUAAUUAAUCGGCGUGUUUUGUUCAUUAAUGAAGCGACGAGUCCAGAUUGUACCAGAACCAAAAUUGGCAUAAUGACCACGCAAGCGUAGGGUACGUUCGACCCAGAGCCCAGGACACAGUUUGUCGUAGUGUGCUUUACAAAAACCGUUUAUCGUUAUUUAAGAGAUAAAAUGAUUUCACCAAAGAUGAAAAACUGAAGCUACGUCUAAAUGCCACCUGCGUCAUUCACGACUGCCCCAUGCCAGUGUGUCACCGCCUGAUAUCUAUGGUCUCCGCCAGCAGAGUCAGAGCAGCCCAUUACCAGGCUAACCAGAACGAAGAGUCCGUAGCCCCGGGAAAUGGGAUUGGUCAGCGGGGAUUUCCGUUGUGUCACUGAAGAGCAUUCCAGGAAGUGAGUGCGACCAGUAAGAGGAUCAUGUGACACAGUAGUGCCAAGGCUAUUGGGAAGUGAAAGGGGUUCAUAAUGCCCAAGAUCCGGGGCGAGGCAGAAAACCUGAUGCCGUGUCGCUUCACAGGCUGUUUAGGGGGUUGGGGUGGGGGGAGCGAGGUUUCACACGUCUCACCUGUAAGGUGCGUUCGUUCA